rnacentral:RNase_P_RNA from 2 species
GAAGCCGACCGGAUGAUCGCGGAGGUAAGGACCGAAAGGUCGCCUCUGAGGAAAGUCCGAGCUCCAUAGGGCAAGGUGCUGGGUAACGCCCAGUGGGGGGAACCCCAAGGAAAGUGCAACAGAGAGAUACCGCCGAUAACGGAGGUCAGUUGUCAGAGGCCGGAGGUCAGAAUAAGUUGAUUUUAAUUCGACUUCAGGUUUCCGACGACUGACUUCCGAGUAGGUAAGGGUGGAAAGGCGAGGUAAGAGCUCACCGGCAGUCAGGUGACUGGCUGGCCAUGUAAACCCCACCUGGAGCAAGACUGAAUAGGGGAACUAUGAACGGCCCGUUUUCGUUCCCGGGUAAGGUCGCUAGAGGCCGUCGGUAACGGCGGUUCGAGACAGAUGAUCAUCACCUCCAUACGGAGGAACAGAACUCGGCUUAUAGGUUGACUUCGCUU